rnacentral:rRNA from 1 species
GCUUGCUUGGUGGAUCAGUGGCGAACGGGUGAGUAACACGUGAGCAACCUGCCCUGGACUCUGGGAUAAGCGCUGGAAACGGCGUCUAAUACUGGAUAUGAGCUCUCAUCGCAUGGUGGGGGUUGGAAAGAUUUUUCGGUCUGGGAUGGGCUCGCGGCCUAUCAGCUUGUUGGUGAGGUAAUGGCUCACCAAGGCGUCGACGGGUAGCCGGCCUGAGAGGGUGACCGGCCACACUGGGACUGAGACACGGCCCAGACUCCUACGGGAGGCAGCAGUGGGGAAUAUUGCACAAUGGGCGGAAGCCUGAUGCAGCAACGCCGCGUGAGGGAUGACGGCCUUCGGGUUGUAAACCUCUUUUAGCAGGGAAGAAGCGAGAGUGACGGUACCUGCAGAAAAAGCGCCGGCUAACUACGUGCCAGCAGCCGCGGUAAUACGUAGGGCGCAAGCGUUAUCCGGAAUUAUUGGGCGUAAAGAGCUCGUAGGCGGUUUGUCGCGUCUGCUGUGAAAUCCCGAGGCUCAACCUCGGGCCUGCAGUGGGUACGGGCAGACUAGAGUGCGGUAGGGGAGAUUGGAAUUCCUGGUGUAGCGGUGGAAUGCGCAGAUAUCAGGAGGAACACCGAUGGCGAAGGCAGAUCUCUGGGCCGUAACUGACGCUGAGGAGCGAAAGGGUGGGGAGCAAACAGGCUUAGAUACCCUGGUAGUCCACCCCGUAAACGUUGGGAACUAGUUGUGGGGACCAUUCCACGGUUUCCGUGACGCAGCUAACGCAUUAAGUUCCCCGCCUGGGGAGUACGGCCGCAAGGCUAAAACUCAAAGGAAUUGACGGGGACCCGCACAAGCGGCGGAGCAUGCGGAUUAAUUCGAUGCAACGCGAAGAACCUUACCAAGGCUUGACAUACACCAGAACACCGUAGAAAUACGGGACUCUUUGGACACUGGUGAACAGGUGGUGCAUGGUUGUCGUCAGCUCGUGUCGUGAGAUGUUGGGUUAAGUCCCGCAACGAGCGCAACCCUCGUUCUAUGUUGCCAGCACGUAAUGGUGGGAACUCAUGGGAUACUGCCGGGGUCAACUCGGAGGAAGGUGGGGAUGACGUCAAAUCAUCAUGCCCCUUAUGUCUUGGGCUUCACGCAUGCUACAAUGGCCGGUACAAAGGGCUGCAAUACCGUGAGGUGGAGCGAAUCCCAAAAAGCCGGUCCCAGUUCGGAUUGAGGUCUGCAACUCGACCUCAUGAAGUCGGAGUCGCUAGUAAUCGCAGAUCAGCAACGCUGCGGUGAAUACGUUCCCGGGUCUUGUACACACCGCCCGUCAAGUCAUGAAAGUCGGUAACACCUGAAGCCGGUGGCCCAA